UCUCUUCAUGUAAAUAAGUGUUUGUUUCUUCCUGAUGAUAGUGGCCUUCUCGUUUGUAAGACUUCAGGCCUUCAAGAGGAGAUCCUCGGAGAGAUGUGAGAACUACGUGGGCAUGUUUUUAAAUAACUGGCUGCCCUCUGUGAGUUCGUGUGAAUUAUGAGGAGGAAAACAAUAGGCUUUGUGCAGAAGGCUGAGCCCGUCUCCGAGGGGAGCUGAAGUCUGUUUGGAGAUGAGGGACUUUCUGUGCGGUUCAGUGAUAGCAGGAAUUGCAUCCAUUUGUUAAUUAAGGCUAUUUGAGAAGGUAAAUCUCUUAAAACCAAAACCCCCAAGUGACUGAGGAAGCUAAAAUGCUUAUAGGACACAGUCUGCCUUUAUAGGCAAAGGCUUCCCACCUAUUUAUACUUUUUCUAAAAACACAUGCAUAGUAAUUAUUCCACCACUUACUGAAACAUAUGCAUUUAAUAACUAGAUUUUCCUCAUAACAUUUUAAAGCAUACAAGUAUUGACCUUAUUGUGAAAAGUGAAAUUAUUUUAGCAAGUAUUUUUAUGCCCCUUCCUGAUGGGUUUAUUGUGUGUGCAUAAGCUUCAAUUUGCAUCUCUGCUAAUCAGUUUGUGAUACCUGUCCAUCUGCAUUUAGACCUUUUUUUUUAUGAUGCCUUUCGCAAGUGUUACAUGUUACCUUUAAGUUCUUGGGAGAAUUGCCUACAAGGAAAAAUACAUCCUUAAUGUGUUGGGUGUUUCUUGCUGCCAGGUCAGGUAAACUGGUUGGCGGGUAGCUCUGCUGUACAAAUGCCAGAUAAAAAUAAUGCUGUUAUUUCCUAUGCAGGAAAAGAGAACAGGUUUUUAUUCACUGUGAUAUUGUCUGAAUAUUCAACUUAAAGGCUGUAUAGAAUUCAGAAGCAACACCCCCGCUUCAUGUUCAAGAUUUUCUUUUCCCUUUUAAGAACUAUAAAGAGACUUCAAAGCCCAAUCAAUUUUUUCCCUUGUUUUCUUUAGAGCACCUACUAACAAAUAGCUUAAUGAUGAACAACACUUGCACUAUUUUUAAAAGAAAAAAGAAACAAGAAAAGAAGCGAUAGCCGUGUCAUUGCCUUUUCAGUCUCUAAACAGCCUAGUAAAAAAAAAAACUGUUUGCAAAACUGUAAGGUUUUUGUUAGCUA
rnacentral:lncRNA from 1 species